GGCGACCGCUUUUGGAGUUCGAUUAAGCCAUGCGAGUCGUGAGUCUUAGGGACUCGGCAUACUGCUCAGUAACACGUGGAUAACCUGCCCUAUCGUCUGGAAUAACCUCGGGAAACUGAGAACAAGGCCGGAUAGUUCACAAUGCCUGGAACGGUUUGUGAAUCAAGGUAGGAUGGGUCUGCGGCGUAUCAGGUUGUAGGGGGUGUAAAGGACCCCCUAGCCAUCGACGCGUACGGGUGUUGGGAGACAUAGCCCGGAGAUGGAUUCUGAGACACGAAUCCAGACCCUACGGGGUGCAGCAGGCGCGAAAACUUCACACUGCAGGAAACUGUGAUGAGGGAACUCCAAGUGUGGGCAUUUUUUGUUCACUUUUCUGAACUCUUAAUCGGUUCAGGAAGAAGGGCUGGGAAAGACCGGUGCCAGCCGCCGCGGUAAUACCGGCAGCUCAAGUGGUCGUCGCUUUUAUUGGGCCUAAAACGUCCGUAGCCUGUUUGGUAAAUCUGUGGGUAAAUCAACCCGCUUAACGGAUUGAAUUCUGCAGAGACUGCCAGACUAGGGACCGGGAGAGGUGUGGGGUACUCGAGGGGUAGAGGUAAAAUUCUGUCAUCCUUCGAGGACCACCAGUUGCGAAGGCGCCACACUGGAACGGAUUCGACGGUCAGGGACGAAGCCUAGGGGCACGAACCGGAUUAGAUACCCGGGUAGUCCUAGGUGUAAACGCUGUGAACUUGGUGUCGGGGAUCCGUCAGGGGUCCCCGGUGCCGGAGUGAAGAUGUUAAGUUCACUGCCUGGGGAGUACGGUCGCAAGGCUGAAACUUAAAGGAAUUGGCGGGGGAGCACUGCAACGGGAGGAGCGUGCGGUUU
rnacentral:rRNA from 1 species